rnacentral:tRNA from 1 species
GCGCCCAUAGCUCAAUUGGAUAGAGCAUCUGACUACGGAUCAGAAGGUUGGGGGUUCAAGUCCCUCUGGGCGUGCCA